rnacentral:rRNA from 1 species
GACGAACCGAGCGAACGUUGUUCGGAAUUACUGGGCGUAAAGCGCACGUAGGCGGAUAUUUAAGUUAGGGGUGAAAUCCCAGGGCUCAACCCUGGAACUGCCUCUAAUACUGGGUAUCUCGAGUCCGAGAGAGGUGAGUGGAAUUCCGAGUGUAGAGGUGAAAUUCGUAGAUAUUCGGAAGAACACCAGUGGCGAAGGCGACUAACUGGACAUGUAUUGACGCUGAGGUGCGAAAGCGUGGGGAGCAAACAGG